rnacentral:rRNA from 1 species
CCUACGGGCGGCAGCAGUGGGGAAUAUUGCACAAUGGGGGAAACCCUGAUGCAGCGACGCCGCGUGAGUGAAGAAGUAUCUCGGUACGUAAAGCUCUAUCAGCAGGGAAGAAAAUGACGGUACCUGACUAAGAAGCCCCGGCUAACUACGUGCCAGCAGCCGCGGUAAUACGUAGGGGGCAAGCGUUAUCCGGAUUUACUGGGUGUAAAGGGAGCGUAGACGGCAGCAGAAGUCUGGAGUGAAAUCCCGGGGCUUAACCACGGAACUGCUUUGGAAACUGUGAGGCUGGAGUGCAGGAGGGGUAGGCGGAAUUCGUGGUGUAGCGGUGAAAUGCGUAGAUAUUAGGAGGAACACCGGUGGCGAAGGCGGCUUACUGGACUGUAACUGACGUUGAGGCUCGAAAGCGUGGGGAGCAAACAGGAUUAGAUACCCCUGUAGUC